UUCGCGGUCAGAGACGCGUUCGCGAAAUUCGCUAAAAUUAAACCAUCGUAAAAUAUACAGCGUAUACAGUAUCUGAAUAAUUUUUUGCUACAUCCUGUCAUCAGGUUUCAGCAUUGCAUUGUAUUGUAUUUUAUCCUGUUGUAUUGCCUUCCAGUGACGAACAUUUUAAUGAAAUUAUAUCUAGAAAAAGAUUUGCUACAUCCUGUCAUCAGGUCUCGGCAUUGUAUUGUAUUGUAUUUUAUCCUGUUGUAUUGCCUUCCAGUGACGAACAUUUUAAUGUAAUAAGUAUACUGUUUACGCCGGUAUUUUUCGGGUGCAGAUAUUUUCGCGAAUUUAGACUUGACGGAUAAUUUCGCGAGUGGUUAAUUUCGCGGGU